rnacentral:misc_RNA from 1 species
UCUCCGUUGGUGAACCAGCGGAGGGAUCAUUACAGGACUCGCAAGACUCCUUCACCCUGUGUACCUCACUACAAGCACGUUGAUUCGGCGGGUGUCCCGGCGGGGGUUUUCCCCCGCCGGUGCGCCCAGCCAGCCGGCAGCCUACUAUACUCUGUCUCUCUGCGUUUGCAUCUCGAGAAAAAACAGGCAAGUUAAAACUUGCAACAACGGAUCUCUUGGUUCUGGCAUCGAUGUAGAACGAAGC